rnacentral:rRNA from 1 species
AUUGAACGCUGGCGGCAGGCUUAACAAAUGCAAGUCGAGCAGGGUGAUGGUGCUUGCACUAUCACUUAGCGGCGGACGGGUGAGUAAUGCUUAGGAAUCUGCCUAUUAGUGGGGGACAACAUCUCGAAAGGGCUGCUAAUACCGCAUACGUCCUACGGGAGAAAGCAGGGGAUCACUUGUGACCUUGCGCUAAUAGAUGAGACUAAGUCGGAUUAGCUAGUUGGUGGGGUAAAGGCCUACCAAGGCGACGAGCGGUAGCGGGUCUGAGAGGAUGAGCCGCCACACUGGGACUAAGGAGCGGCCCAGACUCCUACGGGAGGCAGCAGUGGGGAAUAUUGGACAAUGGGGGGAACCCUGAUCCAGCCAUGCCGCGUGUGUGAAGAAGGCCUUAUGGUUGUAAAGCACUUUAGGCGAGGAGGAGGCUCUUUUGGUUAAUACCCAAGAUGAGUGGACGUUACGCGCAGAAUAAGCACCGGCUAACUCUGUGCCAGCCGCCGCCGUAAGAC